AUACUUACCUGGCAAGGGAGACACCGUGAUCAAGAAGGCGGUUCACCCAGGGCGAGGCUCAGCCAUUGCACUCCGGCUGUGCUGACCCCUGCGAAUUUCCCAAAUGUGGAAAUCUCGAUUGCAUAAUUUCUGGUAGUGGGGGACUGCGUUGCGCUCUCCCCUG
rnacentral:snRNA from 1 species